rnacentral:rRNA from 1 species
AGGCCUAACACAUGCAAGUCGAGCGGUAGCACAGAGAGCUUGCUCUCGGGUGACGAGCGGCGGACGGGUGAGUAAUGUCUGGGAAACUGCCUGAUGGAGGGGGAUAACUACUGGAAACGGUAGCUAAUACCGCAUAAUGUCGCAAGACCAAAGUGGGGGACCUUCGGGCCUCAUGCCAUCAGAUGUGCCCAGAUGGGAUUAGCUAGUAGGUGGGGUAACGGCUCACCUAGGCGACGAUCCCUAGCUGGUCUGAGAGGAUGACCAGCCACACUGGAACUGAGACACGGUCCAGACUCCUACGGGAGGCAGCAGUGGGGAAUAUUGCACAAUGGGCGCAAGCCUGAUGCAGCCAUGCCGCGUGUGUGAAGAAGGCCUUCGGGUUGUAAAGCACUUUCAGCGGGGAGGAAGGCGUUGAGGUUAAUAACCUUGUCGAUUGACGUUACCCGCAGAAGAAGCACCGGCUAACUCCGUGCCAGCAGCCGCGGUAAUACGGAGGGUGCAAGCGUUAAUCGGAAUUACUGGGCGUAAAGCGCACGCAGGCGGUCUGUCAAGUCGGAUGUGAAAUCCCCGGGCUCAACCUGGGAACUGCAUUCGAAACUGGCAGGCUAGAGUCUUGUAGAGGGGGGUAGAAUUCCAGGUGUAGCGGUGAAAUGCGUAGAGAUCUGGAGGAAUACCGGUGGCGAAGGCGGCCCCCUGGACAAAGACUGACGCUCAGGUGCGAAAGCGUGGGGAGCAAACAGGAUUAGAUACCCUGGUAGUCCACGCCGUAAACGAUGUCGAUUUGGAGGUUGUGCCCUUGAGGCGUGGCUUCCGGAGCUAACGCGUUAAAUCGACCGCCUGGGGAGUACGGCCGCAAG